UACAGAGGGUGCAAGCGUUAAUCGGAAUUACUGGGCGUAAAGCGUGCGUAGACGGUUACAUAAGUCGGGUGUGAAAGCCCCGGGCUCAACCUGGGAAUUGCAUUCGAGACUGCGUAGCUAGGGUGCGGAAGAGGGAAGCGGAAUUUCCGGUGUAGCGGUGAAAUGCGUAGAUAUCGGAAGGAACACCAGUGGCGAAAGCGGCUUCCUGGUCCAGCACCGACGUUCAGGCACGAAAGCGUGGGGAGCAAGCAGG
rnacentral:rRNA from 1 species